rnacentral:ncRNA from 1 species
UUUACUUAGAGUUUGAUCCUAGCUCAGGGUGAACGCUGGCGGCAUGGAUAAGGCAUGCAAGUCACGGGGACCGCAAGGUAACCGGCAGACGAGGUAGUAACACGUAGGAACGCACCCCGAAGUCUGGUAUAGCUCGCCGAAAGGCGGGGUAAUCCCAGAUAGUCCCGCAAGGGUAAAGGAGCAAUUCGCUUUGGGAGCGGCCUGCGUUGUAUCAGCUAGUUGGUGAGGUAAUGGCUCACCAAGGCUAUGACGCAUAGGGGACCUGAGAGGGUGACCCCCACCGAUGGAAUUGAGAUACGGUCCAUACUCCUACGGGAGGCUGCAGUCGAGAAUUUUCGGCAAUGGGCGAAAGCCUGACCGAGCGAUGCCGCGUGGUGGAUGAAGCGCUUCGGCGCGUAAACACCUUUUAUGAGGGAGAAAGCUGUUCGCAUCACACAGUGUGUGACGCGGAGAUACGAAUUAGGAGGUACGAGUUAGGAGAGCAAAUGCAUGUGCAUUCUUUUUCUUAUCUCUUAUUUCUUAUCUCUUAUAUCCGCAUCGCGCUCCGCGCGAUGCGAGCAGAUUGAUGUCACCUCAUGAAUAAGGGGCUCCUAACUCUGUGCCAGCAGGAGCGGUAAUACAGAGGCCCCAAGCGUUACCCGGAAUUACUGGGCGUAAAGAGUGCGUAGG